GCGAUAACACCAGCACUAAUGCAUCGGAUCCCAUCAGAACUCCAAAGUUAAGCUUGCUUGGGCGAGGGCAGUACUAGGAUGGGUGACCCCCUGGGAAGUCCUCGUGUUGCACCU
rnacentral:rRNA from 1 species